GUGCUAGCCCCCGCGCGGGUGCCCGCGUCCCGGCCCGGAAGAGAGGCGGGACGACGGCGCGUCCUCUCCCCGCAAGAUUACCUCGCAGCGCGUAGCCGGCUUUGUGUUUCCCCUCCCUCCUUCUCGGCAGCCGCCCGGGCUGCAGCAGCCGCCGGAUCCGCCGCUGCGGCCGCCUCUUAAGCGCCGCAGAGCCCCAGAGGGUGUGGAUUCUGCAAUGCUGCACAGAAACCUACUGCAGCCUCAGACCAACAGCAGCAGCAGCAGCGGCGGCGGCGGCAGCAGCAGCAGCAGCAUUAGCAGCAGCAGCUUCUCUCAAUGCUGAGUAACUGUCAUUGUGAAGGGGUCCUUCAGAAGGAUUCAUCAUGUGAAGAAAAAUGGCUACCUAAGUGCAGGGAUUUCAAGGGCAGCAACAGCCUUCUCUGACUAUAUCUCCAAAGUAUCCCUAUUUACAGGCCAAGAAGCCAGUGUGUCCUCUCCUGGCUCUCAUUCCCUUCCUGCUAGUUGAAUACAGAUAAUCAUGAGGCCCAAGACCCUAAGGAACAGUGCAGCCAGGAGUCGGAAGGAGCCUGGGUUUCUGAAUCAUCACAUGGAGGGGAGCUGUCUUCAGCUGGGAGAGCUGUCUUCAGUUGGAUACUGGGAGGAAGAAAGGGAGCUGGUUAGGAAGCAAACUUGAGUUUCCCAUGCUCUGUGGCUGAGCAAGUCACUUCACCAUUCUCAGGAUGGAAGUGGGGAUGGAGGUGGCAUCGGCCUCAUUUGAACCACAUGGACUAAGAGGGGCUAUGGGAGUAUUCCCCAAAGGAAGACUGAGGGGCGUUACUAGAAAAUGGGAGAAUGGAAGCAGAGUGGGCAAAACCAACAGAUGUUCCCUAUAGUAAAUAAAAAAUUUGGACAAUUAUUAGUGAGCAAGUACUUAUAACAUAUAUGGCACAUGGGAUUGUGACUCACCAGUGUGUUAGCACAAUAUGGUCAAAAACCUCUGAUCCAAUUCAACCUACUCAUCUUAACGAUUUUAUCAGCAUUUAAUAAGUUUGUUUUGGCCAUCAUGUGUUAUAGUUUUGUUUGUGGUUUUGACACCUCAUUAGAGGUUUCAUCAGUGUAAGGAGCCAACCUAAGAGCUCUUCUCACAAGUUUCCCAAGAGAGAAAUUGCCCCUCCAAAUGUGAGGAGUCUCACUUUAUAUAGAUAGCAUCCACACUUCUUGCAGUGGAAAACAAACCUUAUAAAAUGUAAUACGUUUGGUUUCCUAACUUUUUCAUGACCCUGGGGUGGUAGAAGGAAGUGCAAGUUUUAUCACUUGGAUUUAGAGACAAGGAAAUUGAAAUGGAGAGAGAAUUGGGCUCACAUGCAGGCAGCAUGUCUAGCUGCCUCCAUCGUGUGAUCUGAGGCACCCCAUGAGGCCUAUGAUUACUGUAAACCUCUAAAAUAAAUAAA
rnacentral:lncRNA from 1 species